AGAGUUUGAUCCUGGCUCAGAAUCAACGCUGGCGGCGUGCCUAACACAUGCAAGUCGAACGCGAAAGCCCCGCAAGGGGCAAGUAGAGUGGCAAACGGGUGAGUAACGCGUGGGUGACCUGCCUUCGAGCGGGGGAUAACGUUCCGAAAGGGACGCUAAUACCGCAUAACAUCCUGCUUUUGAACAAGCGGAGAUCAAAGCUGGGGAUCGCAAGACCUAGCACUCGAAGAGGGGCCCGCGUCCGAUUAGCUAGUUGGUGAGGUAACGGCUCACCAAGGCAACGAUCGGUAGCCGGCCUGAGAGGGCGGACGGCCACACUGGGACUGAGACACGGCCCAGACUCCUACGGGAGGCAGCAGUGGGGAAUUGUCCGCAAUGGGCGCAAGCCUGACGACGCAACGCCGCGUGGAGGAUGAAGAUCUUCGGGUCGUAAACUCCUGUCGAAUGGGACGAAUGGAUCGCGCGUAAACAACGCGUGGUCGUGACGGUACCGUUAGAGGAAACCCCGGCUAACUCCGUGCCAGCAGCCGCGGUAAUACGGGGGGGGUAAGCGUUGUUCGGAAUUACUGGGCGUAAAGGGCUCGUAGGCGGCCAACUAAGUCAGACGUGAAAUCCCUCAGCUUAACUGGGGAACUGCGUCUGAUACUGGAUGGCUUGGAUUCGGGAGAGGGAUGCGGAAUUCCAGGUGUAGCGGUGAAAUGCGUAGAUAUCUGGAGGAACACCGGUGGCGAAGGCGGCAUCCUGGACCGACAUUGACGCUGAGGAGCGAAAGCCAGGGGAGCAAACGGGAUUAGAUACCCCGGUAGUCCUGGCCCUAAACGAUGAAUGCUUGGUGUGGCGGGUAUCGAUCCCUGCCGUGCCGAAGCUAACGCAUUAAGCAUUCCGCCUGGGGAGUACGGUC
rnacentral:rRNA from 1 species